CUACGGGGUGCAGCAGUGAGGAAUUUUGCGCAAUGGGGGCAACCCUGACGCAGCAACGCCGCGUGAGUGAAGAAGGCCUUUGGGUCGUAAAGCUCUGUCAAUUGGGAAGAAGUUACAAAGCAUUAAUAGUGGUUUGUAUUGACGGUACCAAUGGAGGAAGCGCCGGCUAACUCCGUGCCAGCAGCCGCGGUAACACGGGGGGCGCAAGCGUUAUUCGGAAUUAUUGGGCGUAAAGGGCGCGUAGGCGGUCUUAUCAGUCAGAUGUGAAAGCCCGGGGCUCAACCCCGGACGUGCAUUUGAACAGUAAGACUUGAGUACGGGAGAGGAAAGCGGAAUUCCUGGUGUAGAGGUGAAAUUCGUAGAUAUCAGGAGGAAUACCGAUGGCGAAGGCAGCUUUCUGGACCGAUACUGACGCUGAGGCGCGAAGGCGUGGGUAGCGAACGGGAUUAGAUACCCCGGUAGUC
rnacentral:rRNA from 1 species